rnacentral:lncRNA from 1 species
NNNNNNNNNNNNNNNNNNNNNNNNNNNNNNNNNNNNNNNNNNNNNNNNNGGAUGGGACACCAGGAAUGGGACACCAGGGAUGGGACAGGGAUGGGACACCAGGGAUGGGACACCAGGGAUGGGACACCAGGGAUGGGACACCAGGGAUGGGACACCAGGGAUGGGACAGGGAUGGGACACCAGGGAUGGGACACCAGGAUUCCCUGGAUUCUGUGUCCAUCCCCGUGUCCAUCCCCUGUCCAUCCCCUGUCCAUCCCCGUGUCCAUCCCGUGUCCAUCCCCGUGUCCAUCCCGUGUCCAUCCCCGUGUCCAUCCCCGUGUCCAUCCCCGUGUCCAUCCCGUGUCCAUCCCAUGUCCAUCCCCGUGUCCGUCCCCGUGUCCAUCCCGUGUCCAUCCCGUGUCCAUCCCCGUGUCCAUCCCGUGUCCAUCCCCUGUCCAUCCCCGUGUCCAUCCCGUGUCCAUCUCUGUGUCCAUCCCCGUGUCCAUCCUGUGUCCAUCCCGUGUCCAUCCCGUGUCCAUCCCCGUGUCCAUCCCCUGUCCAUCCCCUGUCCAUCUCCGUGUCCAUCCCCGUGUCCAUCCCCUGUCCAUCCCCGUGUCCAUCCCGUGUCCAUCCCCGUGUCCAUCCCGUGUCCAUCCCGUGUCCAUCCCGUGUCCAUCCCGUGUCCCCACGUCCGUCCCCGUGUCCAUCCCGUGUCCCCACGUCCGUCCCCACCCCGCAGUGCCCGGGAAGUGCCUGAGUCAGCCCAGCCCCCGCUGCCGGCAGAAUUUGGGGCUGGGGGAUCCCAAAUUCCUCCCCCCAGGGAAUUUUUCUUCCUGCCCCCACCAGGGAAUUUUUGGUUUUUUCCUUCCCCCAGCUCCGCCCAGCGCGGCCCCAAAAACGCCUCCAAAUUCCUUUGGGAAAAAAAAAAAUAAAUAAAAAGGAUUUUUUUUUGGGGUCUCCCCUAAAGGAGCAGGAGGCCUUUGGGAAGGGGGGAGCAGCCUGGUCCCCCCCCAGCCCCGUUCCCAAAAAUUUAAAAAAUAUAUAUAUAUAAAUAUAUAUCUAGAGAUGCUCUAUGGCUGGAGAGGCGGGUCCCGACCCUCGGGGGGAAAAGGCACC